UACGUAGGGUGCAAGCGUUAAUCGGAAUUACUGGGCGUAAAGCGUGCGCAGGCGGUUUUGCAAGUCAGCUGUGAAAUCCCCGGGCUUAACCUGGGAACUGCAUUUGUGACUGCACGGCUAGAGUGUGUCAGAGGGGGGUAGAAUUCCACGUGUAGCAGUGAAAUGCGUAGAUAUGUGGAGGAAUACCGAUGGCGAAGGCAGCCCCCUGGGAUAACACUGACGCUCAUGCACGAAAGCGUGGGGAGCAAACAGG
rnacentral:rRNA from 1 species